AGAGUUUGAUCCUGGCUCAGGAUGAACGCUAGCGACAGGCUUAACACAUGCAAGUCGAGGGGCAGCGAGGGAGUGGCAACACUUCUGUCGGCGACCGGCGCACGGGUGAGUAACGCGUAUGCAACCUGCCCUUCACAGGGGGAUAACCGGGAGAAAUUCCGACUAAUACCGCAUACGUCCUCCGGGGGCAUCCCCGGGGGAUGAAAGAAUUAUCGGUGAAGGAUGGGCAUGCGUGAUAUUAGGUAGUUGGCGGGGCAACGGCCCACCAAGCCCACGAUAUCUAGGGGUUCUGAGAGGAAGGUCCCCCACAUUGGUACUGAGACACGGACCAAACUCCUACGGGAGGCAGCAGUGAGGAAUAUUGGUCAAUGGACGAGAGUCUGAACCAGCCAAGUCGCGUGAAGGAAGACGGAUCUAUGGUUUGUAAACUUCUUUAGUGCGGGAACAAAGCGGCGUCGUGACGCCGGAUGAGUGUACCGCAAGAAUAAGCAUCGGCUAACUCCGUGCCAGCAGCCGCGGUAAUACGGAGGAUGCGAGCGUUAUCCGGAUUUAUUGGGUUUAAAGGGAGCGCAGGCUGCGAGGCAAGUCAGCGGUCAAAUGUCGGGGCUCAACCCCGGCCUGCCGUUGAAACUGUCUUGCUAGAGUUCGAGUGAGGUAUGCGGAAUGCGUUGUGUAGCGGUGAAAUGCAUAGAUAUGACGCAGAACUCCGAUUGCGAAGGCAGCAUACCAACUCGCGACUGACGCUGAGGCUCGAAAGCGUGGGUAUCGAACAGGAUUAGAUACCCUGGUAGUCCACGCAGUAAACGAUGAAUACUAACUGUUCGGAGGGCGACCUCUGAGUGGUAAAGCGAAAGCGUUAAGUAUUCCACCUGGGGAGUACGCCGGCAACGGUGAAACUCAAAGGAAUUGACGGGGGCCCGCA
rnacentral:rRNA from 1 species